GAUGAACGCUGGCGGCGUGCCUAAUACAUGCAAGUCGAGCGAACGGACGAGAAGCUUGCUUUUCUGAUGUUAGCGGCGGACGGGUGAGUAACACGUGGAUAACCUACCUAUAAGACUGGGAUAACUUCGGGAAACCGGAACUAAUACCGGAUAAUAUUUUGAACCGCAUGGUUCAAAAGUGAAAGACGGUCUUGCUGUCACUUAUAGAUGGAUCCGCGCUGCAUUAGCUAGUUGGUAAGGUAACGGCUUACCAAGGCAACGAUGCAUAGCCGACCUGAGAGGGUGAUCGGCCACACUGGAACUGAGACACGGUCCAGACUCCUACGGGAGGCAGCAGUAGGGAAUCGUCCGCAAUGGGCGAAAGCCUGACGGAGCAACGCCGCGUGAGUGAUGAAGGUCUUCGGAUCGUAAAACUCUGUUAUUAGGGAAGAACAUAUGUGUAAGUAACUGUGCACAUCUUGACGGUACCUAAUCAGAAAGCCACGGCUAACUACGUG
rnacentral:rRNA from 1 species